rnacentral:rRNA from 1 species
GAUGAACGCUGGCGGCGUGCCUAAUACAUGCAAGUCGAGCGAACAGACGAGGAGCUUGCUCCUCUGACGUUAGCGGCGGACGGGUGAGUAACACGUGGAUAACCUACCUAUAAGACUGGGAUAACUUCGGGAAGCCGGAGCUAAUACCGGAUAAUAUAUUGAACCGCAUGGUUCAAUAGUGAAAGACGGUUUUGCUGUCACUUAUAGAUGGAUCCGCGCCGCAUUAGCUAGUUGGUAAGGUAACGGCUUACCAAGGCAACGAUGCGUAGCCGACCUGAGAGGGUGAUCGGCCAAACUGGAACUGAGACACGGUCCAGACUCCUACGGGAGGCAGCAGUAGGGAAUCUUCCGCAAUGGGCGAAAGCCUGACGGAGCAACGCCGCGUGAGUGAUGAAGGUCUUCGGAUCGUAAAACUCUGUUAUUAGGGAAGAACAAAUGUGUAAGUAACUACGCACGUCUUGACGGUACCUAAUCAGAAAGCCACGGCUAACUACGUGCCAGCCGCCGCAGUAACAC